GAUGAACGCUGGCGGCGCGCUUAACACAUGCAAGUCGAACGGUUAAAGCCCCUUCGGGGGUGUAUAAAGUGGCGAACGGCUGAGUAACACGUGGGCAACCUACCCCCCUCUUUGGGAUAGCCUCGGGAAACCGGGAAUAAUACCGAAUACUCCGGACACACCGCAUGAUGUGACCGGGAAAGCUCCGGCGGAGAGGGAUGGGCCCGCGGCCUGUUAGCUUGUUGGUGGGGUAACGGCCUACCAAGGCUCUUAUGGGUAGCCGGGUUGAGAGACCGACCGGCCAGAUUGGGACUGAGACACGGCCCAGACUCC
rnacentral:rRNA from 1 species